rnacentral:rRNA from 1 species
GACGAACGUUGGCGGCGUGCUUAAUACAUGCAAGUCAACUGAAGCAGUGGUAGCAAUAUCGCUGUGGAGGUGGCGCACGGGUGAGUAACACGUAGGUAAUCUGCCUUCAGGUCUGGCAUAACUCCGGGAAACCGGGGCUAAUAGCAGAUGAUGCAGCGGCUCGACAUCGAGACAGUUGUUAAAGCUAUGGCGCCUGAAGAUGAGCCUGCGUCUGAUUAGCUAGUUGGCGGGGUAACGGCCCACCAAGGCAACGAUCAGUAGCUGGUCUGAGAGGAUGAUCAGCCACACUGGAACUGAGACACGGUCCAGACUCCUACGGGAGGCAGCAGUAAGGAAUAUUGCUCAAUGGGAGAAAUCCUGAAGCAGCAACGCCGCGUGAGGGACGAAGGGCUUUGGCUUGUAAACCUCUGUAGUGAGAGAAAAAAAUCCCAAUCUUUGGGACAUGAUGGUAUCUCAAAUGUAAGCCCCGGCUAACUACGUG